GUCCUAAAUAGGAGUAGUCCUGGGCCGCUAUCCUGUGAGGGUGGAGACGCUCCCCGAGACUGGACAGACACCGAGAGGUGGAGCUGAGCUAAUACGAGGCUAAGGGAAUUCCAUGUAUUCCAGUUAUCCUGAGCUCACGUACAGCAGAGGAUACCCCCGAGUUUCACCGCCAUCUCUUACUAGGAUUCCAGGAUCCCUUUCAAGGCUUCUACCUGGAGCAACUGCCCACAGUUCUGCCUUAAGAGUGCCUGAGAGACCUGGCAUCUCACAGCCUGCCCUCCAAAUCAUCACUCACUCUGCCAGGCACACCAGGUCUUCCUCCCCUUCCUCGCCGCACCAAAGAAAUCAAAACCCAAACUGAGAAUACUAGAAAGCAUCACCGUACAGCACGGAAAGAAAUAAUGAAAACAAACCAACAGCCACACACUUGGACUCACCCAGACCCAGGAGCCAGGAGUGUGGGUGAUUGUCAAGUUUGGGGACGGGUCAGCUCUUGGCUGGCCCAUCCCUCCCUUCUUCCCUCUUUCUGGGACUUGAAUGGGGUAGAGAAUUCAGAUUCUCCUUGGGAAUCUCAGCCCUCCUGCCCCAUUACAUCCCACCCCUUCUGCUUAUGUAGAGGCAGACAGGGUAGAACAAGGAGCUCCCAGCCUCUUAGGAGAGCCUACAUUCCCCCACAGGGGUUCCAGAGAGUUAGGUAAAAAUAGAGAGAGAGAUAGAUUUAGAUACUUUUCCAUCAUUUCUGUCUCUCCAAACAAAUAAAUAACGAGCAAGAGAA
ensembl:antisense 1700113A16Rik RIKEN cDNA 1700113A16 gene